UACGAAGGGUGCAAGCGUUACUCGGAAUUACUGGGCGUAAAGCGUGCGUAGGUGGUUUGUUAAGUCUGCUGUGGAAGCCACGGGCUCAACCUGGGAAUGGCAGUGGAUACUGGCAAGCUAGAGUGCGGUAGAGGGGUGUGGAAUUCCCGGUGUAGCGGUGAAAUGCGUAGAGAUCGGGAGGAACACCAGUGGCGAAGGCGGCACCCUGGACCAGCACUGACACUGAGGCACGAAAGCGUGGGGAGCAAACAGG
rnacentral:rRNA from 1 species